rnacentral:pre_miRNA from 1 species
UACAAUGUGUUUUGACUCUUCGUCUUAUUUAAAAUUUUUUAUAAUUAAUAUUUUUAUUUUUACUAGAUGAUAAAAUAUAAAUAGUACUUUAUACGUGACUAAUUUUUUAAAGUUUUUUUUAUAAAUUUUUCAAAUAAGAUGAAUGAUCAAACGUUGGACAUGAAAA